rnacentral:sRNA from 1 species
AAGAUAAAUAAUUUAUUGUUCUAUUCAUGAAACAGUAGCUACAAAUGUUUGAUAUUGCAGGCUGUACAGUUCAAAGAAUCCACACUUCACUACAACAUAGACUUUAACCAAUAUUGCAGAUAACAGUUUAGAAUAACUUAAACAGAUACUUGAUCUACACUUCAGUAUUAUAGGUCACACAAAUAAGACAUAACUAAUGGAGGAGUAAGGAACAAACAACAACCCAUAUAGAUUAAUAUUAGAUAUUACACGCUAAUCUAAGUAGUACAGGUAACAGUAAAAAUACAAAGUAAAAAUCCAUAUAGAAUACACAAUUAUUGUUAUAUGUACAGAAAAAUACUUGAUAUAUUUAACCGGUACGAAUGUAUUACAGUCUCUUUGAUUCAUUGUCCAUAACAAUAGGUCUUUGUUCACUAUUUGUAGGUGCUAAGAAAUAGGUCUUUGCCCAUCAUUUGUUUGUGUUUAAACAAUAGGUCUUUGUUCACCAUUUGUAAGUGUUUAAACAAUAGGUCUUUGUCCACCAUUUGUAAUAAAAAAUAGGUCUUUGUCCACUAUUUGUAGGUGUUUAAACAACAGGUCUUUGUUAACCAUUUGUAGGUGCCAGUUUCAAGCAUGUAAAAUAAAAUGGAAUAUUGGUAGCAAAAAUUAUAAAAAAAACAACAACAAUAAUAAGAUCAAAAACACUCGCUGCCUCUCAAACAAUCAAACACACAUACACACAAGCCACUGACUCAAUGCUAUGAAUGUGAUAACCCACUGUUUUACUGUCAGUUAUAGGACAACCCACUGCUUUACUGUCAGAGAGGAGACAACUUAAUGGCUUAUUGUCAGAUAUAGGGUAAACCCACUGUCCUUUUUUUCUGAGUUAAGAUAACCCAAGUGUCUUAUUUUCAGAUAUGAGACAACCCGCUUGCUAUCAUAUUUUCAGAUAUGAGACAACCUGCCUGCUGUCUUAUUUUCAGAUGAGACAACCCGCCUGCUGUCUUAUUUUCAGAUAUGAGACAACCCGCCUGCUAUCUUAUUUUCAGAUAUGAGACAACCCGCCUGCUGUCUUAUUUUCAGAUAUGAGACAACCCGCCUGCUGUCUUAUUUUCAGAUCUGAGACAACCCGCCUGCUGUCUUAUUUUCAGAUGAGACAACCCACCUGCUAUCUUAUUUUCAGAUACGGUAUAACAAUCGUUGCUUCUCUGACCUGUGGCAUUCUUUCGAGGUGACCGGACCAUCGUAAUCUGUUUCUUUUAUUUAUAGAACUUUUUCUCAUACUAGUGUUUCAUUAACAGCUAAGGGACAACCCACUGUCUUAGUGUCAGAUAUGGGACCCACUGUCUUGUCAAAUAUGAAACUACUCACCGUCUCCACCUCUGCUAUCUACACUUACACAUAUUUAUAACGUAUGUGGCUGGUACUAAAACCGUUCGAAUAGACACCCUCAAUGAUAUUUUUUGAAUUAUUAGAUUUCCUUAUUUAAUAGUUAGCAUAAUCAGUAUCAUUGUCAUUUCUCAGAUUUAAAAUGACUGUAUAUAAUCUGUAUAUAGGCAACUACUAUAGGCCUACUAAAGCCAGUUCGUUCUAAUAGUUAUUUUUGUUUUAAUUAAAAUAUCUACAUAUCUAUGUUGAUUAUUUUCAAGAAGACCUCCCUUCCUCCGACCUAGUUUCAUACGUACAUAUCCAUACACCAUUUACACACAGAUAAGCCAAAUAUACGUUAGUCCAAGAAUGGUCAUUACUUUAUACACAUAGAUCAUAAAGUUAUAGGAGAUACCAAUGUACAGUAGAAUAACUAUAUACCACAAAUGUGAAUUACAUUAUGUUCAUCUUGUGUUUUCUUUUGUGAUCACAAUCACGUAGUUAUAACAUGGAUUUAACGUAACAAAGGUAGGCCUUCAGAUAUGCUCUCUGUUAUUGUUAUAGGACAGCCUCAUCUAUGGCACUAUAUAAACCAUACAAUAAUUGUAAGGGCCUGUACAAAUGUGAUGUAGGCCUUACGUGUACAUUAUAAAAGUGAAUAUAGUUACACAUUCAAACAAAUUACAUAUUCGAUUAUUUGCUCAAGAUGAUUAUUUACAUUUUAAAAACAUUUUUUUAGCCUACUAGAAACACACAAUGCCUGUGUAUAUUGAUAACACACGCGAAAACCCACUCGCCCACACGUGCAAAAGAAAACACAACACACACAUAUUGUGAUUUGAUGUAGUGCUCAAUUGAAAUAGUUCAGACCUCGAGGAUUUUCCUGUUCUGGUUUUUCCUUUUUUAACUGUCAAGAACAGAAGUUGAGGGUAUAAAAACAAAACAAAGACCGGACCCAUAGAAACAUGUUUGUGAUAUCAUUAGUCGGGUGAGACCUCCGAUGCGCUUCGAUUGUAAGCCUAUGCCUCCCUUUGUGACUGGUAAGAAACUCGAGUGAAACCAGAAACGUCAACGCUAAAGAGAUCAAAGCAAAUGAGGAAUUCAGAUAUGAAACUAUGGUUACGGAUCGUUCAUUAACUUUCCCAUUAAAAAAAAUGUCAGAACAAAAUAUUUAACAGUAACAGAGGUGUCAGAACAAAAUAUUUAACAGUAACAGAUGAAAAAGAACACUUAGAUGUACAGUGCGGGAUAUUAAGAAUUUUGAGGGAGCGCUUAACUUCUUCGAAUUGAAAUAGAAUGCACUUAAUAAUAGGACUGCAUCUAUAAGCAAGUCACAUUUGUGAAGAUAGAACUAUAGUACGCGUAAAUCUCACUUCGCUCUUUUUCUUUUGUUUUACAUGCAUACUAGCAGUACACCCCGGCUAAGCCCGUUGAUUUGUUCCAAGGCUUUAUAUUGUUUAUUAUGGCCAGGAUACCCCUUUUUCUUUUUUCUUUAAAUUUUAAUAAACGGGCCAAAUUUUAAAUAUCAACCUAACAUAUUUAUUAGCCCGUGAAUGAGUGAAUCUGUUACAGUGAAAUUUCACUACCCGCUCUCUUUGUCGCUCUCAGGAACCCUCAUUUAAACUUUU